rnacentral:rRNA from 1 species
CUACGGGCUGCAGCAGUGGGGAAUAUUGGACAAUGGGGGAAACCCUGAUCCAGCAAUGCCGCGUGUGUGAAGAAGGCCUGCGGGUUGUAAAGCACUUUCGGUUGGGAGGACUGCUUCUAGCACUAAUAUUGUUGGAAGUUGACGUUACCUUCAGAAGAAGCACCGGCUAACUCCGUGCCAGCAGCCGCGGUAAUACGGAGGGUGCAAGCGUUAAUCGGAAUUACUGGGCGUAAAGCGCGCGUAGGCGGCUAGAUCAGUCGGGUGUGAAAGCCCCGGGCUUAACCUGGGAACUGCAUCCGAUACUGUCUAGCUUGAGUACAGGAGAGGAGAGUGGAAUUCCACAUGUAGCGGUGAAAUGCGUAGAUAUGUGGAGGAACACCAAUGGCGAAGGCAGCUCUCUGGCCUGAUACUGACGCUGAGGUGCGAAAGAGUGGGGAGCAAACAGGAUUAGAUAUCCUGGUAGUC